GCCCCGAGCCGCCCCGAACAGCCGCGAGCCCCGAGCAGCCCCGAGCCCCGAGCAGGCCCGAGCCCCGAGCAGCGUGGGGCGAGGUGCGGGCGCCGCGGGGGCACCCCUGGGGUUGGCGGCCCAGAGGUGGCCCGGCCGCGGCGCUAAGCUGGUCGGGAGGACCCGCGUGAUGGGUGCGGGCGGAGGGCCGGGCACCCACGUCCUGCUCGGCCCCAGCCACGAAGCUAAGCGGAAAAGCGCGACGCAGGACGCGGGGUUGUUGGUGCUCCUGCGGGAGGAGGGCAGCGCGGAAGGGGCCGGGAGGGCGGCUCAGCCCGACGCCCCUCGCUCCUCGCGCAUCCUCGGCCUCCAGGGGGCUCCGUGGGCACCCGCCGCGGGUGGGCACCUGCCCCGAGGUGGGGUCCUGCCGCGAGGUGGGGUCCUGCCGCGAGGUGGGGUCCUGCGGACCCCGGGAGGCCAGAGGCCAGGGAGACCCCGGGGGCGCCGUCUUCCUCCCGGGAGCCGCACCUCUGACCCCCAUUACCCUAUGCCCCUCCCCAUUCCCCUGUCUCCCACCCCUCCCAUCCCCCUCUCCCACCGCCUUCUCUCCCACCUCCCCACCCCCUCCCCCACCCCCUCUCCCCCCUCCCCCACCCCACCCCCCUCUCCACCGCCUUCCCCACCCCCCCAGCAGGCCAUUUAAGAGGUUCGGACCAGGCCCGUGGGGUUCAGGUUGCACCCCGCUGGUGACUGCCCGGGGGCCGAGGUCGCACCCCGCGCCGCGCUCCCGGCCGGGCGCCCCCGGAGCCUGGCCCGCGAUGUCCGAGCCGUGUUGGGGCGCAUCCUGCUGGGCCUGCCCGGCCCCCAACAGCCCUCUGCGUGCUUCGCACACGCGAGCGCCCAGAUGUUCACCUGAGCAGUGCAGAGCGCGGGGGACCCCCGGCUGGGCCCCUCCCCGCCCCUGCGGCCCAGGUCGGCCCAGGUCGCUGUUCUCCUGCACACACACACCCCCCCCGCCUCGGCCCCUCCCUCCCCCUCCCUGUAGCCCGUGCCUCCCCUCCCUGCACCCCUUUGGAUCUUAGUCUUACCCCCCCCCGUUUGUCCCUGGCCUCUGCUGGGUCCUGAGCUCGGGGUGGCGGGUGCGGAGGCCGCCUCAGGGUGCCCAGGGCGGGGGUGGGGGUGGGGGGGCUAACCAGGAGACUCUGGGGCCUUACAGGGCCCGGCGAUCAUGGGCAGCCCCCCGGGAACGCCUGCCGCUGGGACCCCUGACCCGGGGCAGGAGUUGGUGCCCACACGGGGCACAGACCUCACCCAGUAGGCGAAGUAGGGGGGAUCCCUGGGCGGCUGGGCGCGGGAGGCAGCCACUGCGGGUGGGCGGGGCUCCAGGUUAGGCCCCUCGCCCCCCCUACCCCCCCCCCCCCCCCCGGCCUGUUAUCAGUCCCGCCUAGGAGUCAGCCCCGACCCGGUAGCGCGAGCAGGAGAAAGGGGGGGCCUUCCUGAGCCCCCUAAGCUCUGAAGACCCGGCUGACUCUGGUUCAUUUCUCACUCACUAAAGGAUAGAGGUCAUUAAAAAUGUGAAAAGAAGGAAAAUGAUUUUUUUCUUUUAAAAAAUUCAGGGUUAGGGUUACCUGGGGGGCCCAGCGGUUGAGCGUCUCCUCUUGCUCAGGGCGUGACCCCGGGGUCCUGGGAUCGAGUCCCGCCCCCGGCUCCCUGCUCAGCAGGAACCUGCCUGUCCCUCCGCCUGUGGCUCUGCCUCUCUCUGCGUCUCUCAUGGAUAAAUAAAAUCUUUAAGAAAAAAAAAAAAGAAAAAAUUCAGAGUUCUUAUUUUCAAGUGGCUGGAGAAAGGUCGCAUUAGGGAAAGAAGAGGGAGCGCCGUGUCCCCGCGUCUAGGGACUGUGAUGAGUGGAUAGGCCUUAUGUCUGAGGAACAAGUGCAACCUGGAGGGAGCAGCCUCCCUGUGGGGCCAAACCCUACUCUCAGCCUCCCCUGGCCUGCAGUCCUGGGGCGCUCCUCCCCACAUUUCUGUUUGCUUCUUUCUUUCUUUCUCUCUUCUUCCUUCCUUCUUCCCUUCCCUUCCCUUUAUAUCCUUUAUUUCUUCUGUUCCAAUUCCCUGUUCCAAUUCCCUAUAAUUCAAGGUGUGCCUGGGUGGCUCAGUCAGUUCGGCUCUCUGAGUUUUGGCUUCAGCUCAGGUCAUGAUCUCAUGGGUCUCGAGACCCAGGCCCAGCCCCUUCACUGGGUCCCUGUGCUCAGCAGGGAGUCUGCUCGAAGAUUCUCUGCCCCUGCCCCUCCCCCCACUGACAUGCCCUGCACGCUCUCUCAAAUAAAUCAAUCUUAAAAAAAAAAAAAAAAUAUAUAUAUAUAUAUAUAUAAUUCAAAAACCAACACUGUUUCAGACAUACAGGCUAUGCAGGGGGUUUGUAAGUCAUUUUUCUUCCAUUUUAUUUCUCUUGGCUACUUUCCAAUGACACAUAAAGACACACCUUCAUCUUUUGAAUAUAAAUUCUG
rnacentral:lncRNA from 1 species